rnacentral:rRNA from 1 species
UACGGAGGGUGCAAGCGUUAUCCGGAUUCACUGGGUUUAAAGGGUGCGUAGGCGGGCAGAUAAGUCAGUGGUGAAAUACCUGAGCUUAACUUGGGAACUGCCAUUGAUACUAUUUGUCUUGAAUGUCGUGGAGGUUAGCGGAAUAUGUCAUGUAGCGGUGAAAUGCUUAGAGAUGACAUAGAACACCUAUUGCGAAGGCAGCUUACUAUGGUUUUAUUGACGCUGAGGCACGAAAGCGUGGGGAUCAAACAGG